UCUACCCAAAUAACGUUUAGGCACUGUGAUGCUCUUAUCGCAGUGUUGUGUUCUCACGUACUCUAACUGAUAUCUAUGUCUAUCUUUUGCGUACAAAUACUGAGAAUGUAUGGCAAACGCAAGUAUUGUAGCAUCAUCUCCAACUGAUGUAGUUAAGUUUGCAACAACGAAACUGACCUUUUACAGCCAGUUAAUGGAUAAACGAUUCUGUGCUGUUUGUUAUAGUCAAGCCUAAUCUGAACGCAACAACUUAGAGACCAAAAUGUACCAUGCCAAAAUUGCCCUAUUACGAAAUCGAUUACUUGUUCCUUUGGACGAAGUUGCUCUCAAACGUAGACAUGACGUUCCAUACACUCCGCAGCCAGAAUGUGCAAACACGUCUACGUCUUCAACACAGCAAAGUAGUCCACAGCAAAGCAGUACAUCGAUCGUAACGGAUUAUGAACUUCAAAAAGAGAUGGAGAAUGCGUUAGGUCCUUCAAAACCAGCUCCACCCGCCCUAUACCAUGCGCCCACUGAGGAAGGAUCAGAUGACGAGCCGCCGAGGCCAGCACCAGUUGUGAUUAAUAGAGGAACACCCGCCCGAAAACGUGCGCCUCGUGUGGGCGGGUCGCGUAGCACUACUGGAGAAGACGGUAGUCCUCAUGUUGUAUUUUCAAAAAAAUUGGUCCUUGACCCUACUGAUCUCGAUAAAGCAAUGCUGCCGCACGGCGAACAAUCCCCGGCAAUCCUCAAACCGUCGCGUUUCUUAAAAAACCUUCAGCCAGAACGUAAGAAAGCUCCGAAAAAGGACUCUACAAAACCGCAAAGCACUAGCCAAGACAAUCUUGAGUUAUAUCUUAUGAGUCCUCCGCCAUCACCACACGCUCAUGACCCAGAUCCAGUAGGUAAAUCAACAGUCAACAAGAAAAGCGAUCCCCAAGGCGUCGUGAACGAAAAGGGCAUUCGGUCGAACACCGUCCUCUCCAUCGAUGCUGACGCAAACAAGUCUAGUCGAAUACAACGAAACAGAAGUGGUGAUAAUGACAGAAAUCGAAUCGAAGCUGUAGAUAAUCUAGCGAAAAACGACAGGGUAUCACGGAACAAGGAAGAUAUCGCACCUUGCUGCAAGUGCAAGUGUGUGAAUCUUGGAAUAUUACAAGCAAAGGGAAGGCCUAGGAUAGUUUUAGAUGAUACGCCUGCUAUUACUGAUACAAAGAAGUCUUCCAACUGUCUAGCAGAAGCUCCUAAUAAUAACCGAGGUCUGAGCAAAGAUAGACAUGACCAACGGGACAAUACAAAAUGUCCCACUCAAAUAUCAGUUGAUCCUCAGUACAACGAACACAAUAGGAAAAAUAGGGUAUUGUUGCAUACUUCAAGCAAGACUUCAAAGUUGUCUAUGAGGACAAGGUACGGAAAUGACACAUGUUAUGUCAACACCUGUUCAUACCCGGUCCCGUCAAACCCAUCCAGCAAAAAAGACAAGGGUAGUAAGACAGCAAAAAAAAACGUAUUACCACAGCAAGAACUAGAAGAGAACUGUAAGCCCGGAGACAGCGACAAUUCCGCGAGCAUCGAUAAUAAGCAUGGACGAGACAAGUACUUAGCAGCCUUAAAAAAAUUUUCCGACGGCAACUUCGAGCUGAAGGGCGUGAACAGUGACAUCAAAUCACUCCGAGAAAAGCAGAAAUAUCUUAAUCCAGAAACGCGUACGUCACAAACCAUCCCGAAUCGAUACAAGGCGCCUGAGUUCAAAAAGAAUCCCCAUCUGUCUGAGAAGGGCGAAUCAUCACGACAGCUUAAUCGUGAAAAGCACGAGCUCUCCCGGAAUAAUUCGAAACAGCUCAUCAGAUUCGAUAGCGAACAACCAGGAAGUCCUUUCGUCGUAAAGCUUGAGGAUGGGCAACUAGAAGAUGUUAAUGCCGUUGUAUACACCCCACAAAUUACCCAUGGCCAAUCCCGAUCACCAAAGGGUUCUCUUCUACCUGUAAAGGGCGGCUCAUUACGGAACCCUGAUCGUAAAAGACUUCCAACUAGUUCGAAAGGACAGGAAUCAAAUUUUCAAUUACUAAAGGAUUGUUCUGAGGAUGGGCAACCGGUGAAAGAGCUGAACGCAAAAAUGGUCACGCGACAAACAAUCCGAAAUCGAUCCGAGGUACCAGAACUGGCCUGUCGAUCGUCAAGGGAUCGUUCGCCUGCGAAUGGCGUACCAUCUGAAGACUGCGAUCGAGAAUUACAUGAGACGCGCACUAUUACGCAGUCAGUCAAAUUGUUUCGAGUCAGUUCUCAGCCGUCCACGGCUCUGAAGAUCGAGUCUCAGAAUCGUGCCAUAUUUCCCAGUCAACCUAAGGAUCCGCCUCGUAAAUAUAGAACUGGAAAAAGAAGUAGUGCUGAAAGUGUACAGGGAAAAAAUGCGUCCACAAUGAAGAGGUCGAGAUUAGUUCAGGAACAAAUGGACCUUAACCAGACAACCGAACCUGUCGACGUGUCACAUAGCAACGAUGCCUCCUCAAUUCAUACGACUGGUGUUCACUCAUUUGCACAUUCUACAGCAAAACCACUUCAAGGCACGGCAAAGCCUAUGGCGAUGACUGUUAUUACAACCUCUGUUUCUACCACGUCUACAACCACAAAAAAAGUUGUCAACUUAAUUGAGGAAGUUACUUCAGAGCUAAUUCCGGAUGAAAUGUCAAGCAGCGACUUGAACGACAGUUUUAAAAGGAUGAGAGAUACUCAUGAGACUAUUAAUACCCAUAGUAGUAAAGAUCCCACAACUAGCACUAUGCCUAAACCAAAUUUGGUAAGCCAAGCUGCCGAUUUCGACAGUACACGUAAAACUGCAGUAUUAUCGAGUAGCGUUUCGAAUGGGAAUACCAGCUUUUAUAAGAGAGUGCCAGUUACACGGGUAUCAGGAGCAGGCACAUUGAUAUUUUCUUGCGAAAAACAAGUUCGAAGGCAGCGGAAAAGUUUUAAAGGGUCGAAAGGCAUUUAUCCCUUCAAAAAAGAUUCCCUCGAUCAAGAUUCGGAACUCCUCAGUGACAUUCUUCAAAAAAACAAGAAAGAUAUCUCGAGCAGUGAACUGAUGGAUAGAUUAACAAGUGAGCUUGACAGUAUGGAAAACAAAACCAGCGUAUCUACCGCAAGUAUCAGUAGGUUGAGAGAUCUUUCGAAUCUUAGCGUUGCAAGCAUGAAAUCAUCAACGACAACGUCGGAAAGACCGGAGUUGCCAAACACCACGCCAGCAAUAAGCGUUUCCAGCGAGCGUUAUAUCAGCAGAGAUAUAACGGCAAACAGUGGGGCGACCAUAAUUGGCAGGUGUUUGUUGUCAAAUGAUAAGCCUUUUCACUAUGGCAGCAACAUUUCUAAAAGUUCAACAAUUCUGGAAACACGUAAUGUGAGGCAUGAAUACUCAAACUCAGAAAGGCCCAAGAAGAAAGCGUCCCACCAAAUUAACAACCAUGUAAAGUCCCUUGAGGGUCCACGGUUGACAAAGGCGAGUCAGCAGUCGCCGGCUCAACUAAAAAGCCCCAAGGCAGCUUUAGUUUUGAAAUUACCUUGGGACUCCAAUGACAAAGUAAAUCAUCCAAAAAGUUUCCCAAUGCCAUAUCAAAAUCGUAAACCUAGUGCGAAACAGUUGGAAGACCCAAACAAAGGUCACACACUCCCCGUUUUAUUCAAAACAGAGGACGUUGGAUGCAGACAACUCUUGGAGGAGCAAGACGUGAAAUGUUCUAAUUUAGCUGACUUUAAGACCAACGCUUUGACGGAUGCCGAGCCAAAUCACCGUGGUAAGGAUAAAAUUACUAUGGGAAGAGGAGGGUCUUUCAAAGUGGUUCGAAACAAGGAUAAAUCGACGUUCAGUUCAAGGGAAAGAUCUGAUAAAGCUUCAAAAAGCCGCCUAUUGUCUAUGAAACGGUCUGAUGCCUCUAUAGUAAGGCGUGAUCUAACGGGUCUAAAAGAAAACAGGGACUGCAAAUAUUCAAAAAGUAAUAGAUCUUGUAAACAUUUAAAAAAUGGCGAAAUCUGUAGCUAUUUAAAAAGUAAAAGGCACUGCAAACAUUCAAAAAAUAAGAGAGCUUGUAAAUACUCAAAAAAUGAAAAUAUUUGCAAACACCGAAGAGAUAGAAGAACUUGUAAACAAUCUAAAAAGUCGCAAGCGAGAAGAUCUAGGGCAGGAAAAUCGAGCCAAACGUCAAACGAGAAGAUUCCAGUCUCCAACGACAGAUAUUCUAAAACCACCAAUGCACUGUUAGAAAGGCCGAUGAUCUCACAAAACAAGAUAGAGUCGAAAAACUCUAAAAAGGGAAUAUUUAGCUUCUCCAAGAAAAUCAGUAAGGGAUCUAAGCUUUCUAAACCUGCCGAAUCUGAUUCCCAGGAUAUCAAGGGCAGUAGGGCUUCCUCUGGAAGCUUCAAAAUUAGUUUAAAAAAAUGGUUUUCUAAGAAAACUCAAUCGCAAAAAAAUCAAGCACUGAGCGACGAUGCGCGCGGAAGUAUGCAAUCGUCUGGGAAUCUUGAGGGUGGAAGCAAUUCUGCGGAAAAGAAUUUACAGCCUAAGCGCUCGCCUUUGACAUCAGCCAAAUUGUCACCCUCUAAGCAAGCUCCAAACGGUGGAGGGAAGUCGCCGCCCGUGAAGCUGCAUGACCAAAAGGAAGGCCAAAUAGCGCCAGCUUUACGCACCGCUUUGACAGCAGAACGUGGAGAAGCGCCAUGCAGCGGGAUGCUAGAACUGGGACAAAGUCAUCAGUCCGGUGCUAAAUAUAAUGCUGGAACUCCAGAAAAACACGCAAAAUCGUCUCGUUUUUCUAAAUCAAUGCCGAAAUCAGUACAGCUUUCGGAGGAUAAACAGGUCCGUACAGCUUCAAAGACGCCAUUAAAGUUUCCCGAAUCAAAUGCAUCUCCUGUCCCAGGCCAAUCCAUCAUUCCAUCACAACAUUCCAACAAAGAUAUUGCAGAUUCAAAAGUGGGAGACGAUAGUGGAGUGCGAUUGAAUUCCGCACAAUCAGACGGUCCUGCUUCACGAAGCAGUAAAGCCAGUUAUACAGAAAGGCAAAGGUACCUAAGAGCUCUGGAGAAACUAGUAGACGUUAUUUCCAUUUCAACAAAGAGUAAAGCCGAAGAUCAAACCAGGGAUUUGUUACAAGAAAUGCUAAUUAAAGAGGGUGUACAAGAACCCAUAGCUGGAGAGGCUUCUCAUGAAGCUUUGUUUGUAGGUGAUUCUCUGAGAGCUUUGGCUGGCAAAAUUGGUCCACCAGCCUUAAGCAAGGGCAAUUCCUCGGGAAUUCCAGCAGAGAUAACUAUGCAAAAAUGUUCUGCUAUGAGAGACUACUCGAAAAUCCCACUGGAAGCAGGUGUUCAGGAAACCGUUACUCACUUAAAUGAGAAUCCUCGUAAGAGCCCUCAAGGGCCUUUGACUAAGGCGAAGUCUGUGAGAACUCCGCUUCAAGUACGUUCUCAAGGAACGUCACCCAAGGGAAGCUCUCAAGAAACCAGGCAUAUAAAAAGUUCCCAGAGAAAAUUAUCAAAAACAGGCUUUCAGGGAACACCACUUAGAGAUCGAGUCUUACGCACUGUAGCUACCGGCAAUAUCCACGAGUUAGCAACGCAACGAACCUCAAAAGAAGACACUGUGCCGAAAGGUCUGGAAGUACCAGCUUUCGCAGUUCGUCAUAUGAAAUGGAAACCAGCCAAGCUUAAUCCGUCGACAAAACAAAAGAGCGAGCUUCGGGUACGAACUAAUCGAACCUCGUAUCCCAUUGAUACCAAUCAAAAAGAUUCAUCUACGCCAACAAACCUUCGAGACUAUGCUAUGGGAAACGUUAAUGCACCACUUGACAACCUAGUGGAUCCUUUUCGACGAUUAGAAUGUAGUUCCUAUAGUUCACCAACCUACGAAUGUCUAACGACAGUUGCAGUUCGUGGCGGAAGCUGUUCAAAGAACUAUCCGAUUAUUUGCGACAAAGGUUAUCGUGUAACGUCGGAGUAUGUUCGCUGGACUGAACCAAACAGCAGGAAGGCGAAAGAUGGCAACGCUCUUUCAAUCCCUCCAGUGAAAGAUAUUCGGGACCAUCAUGCACGUGGCAGUGCUCAGAAGUGCGUUGGAACCAUGGCAGAACCAGUAGAUGUGUCUCACAAACUUCUCGCUCCCUCCGACCCCGCCGCGGGGGAGGCUGCUCAGAUGAGAAGAAGAAGGGAAGGAACUAAGCAUGAGUUUGUAAGCAAAAUGCAAAAGAUUUCACCAAACAGUUGUAAUAAAUGCUCAUUGCAAGCGGAUACAAGCUCAAGCAAUAUUUCCAAACAAAAUUUCAACUAUAACACCUCUUCGAAUGUCCGCUCCACGCCAGACAGACAACUAUCACGGUGUAAAGUCGGAAGACGGUCCGCCUCGAUGAAGGGCGUUUGUCGACCUUGCAUAAGGCCCAGGAACAUCGACCAAGAAUCACGUAUUACUGAAGUCACGACGAUGGGCACUCCCACGUCAAUGCAACUGUCAGAUCAUACGAUUUUCACUUCAACCAGGGAUGCGGAAACAGAAACUGGCAGCCGGAGUAUCAACGAAAGAGAGCGGUAUUUUAGGCUUUCACUACCAUCAGAUCGAUGCUAUUCGAUGAAGCCGUUCCCGCCACUUAACGGUCGUGUGCUCAACGAACGCCCAGCUCUUUCAUCGAAUUCAGAAGAUUGUAGUAAAAACGGUUUGGCGAUAGGAGAUGCGAGGCGCCAUUUACUCUUUAAAUAUCUGGCGAAAUCAAUGUAUUGCCACGUAAUACAGGAGCGUGAUCCAAAUGUGGGUGUUCUACAAUCAUGUGCCAUAGAGCUAGACCAGCGCACAGGUCUUAUGAUCAUCCCAGCCCCAGUUGACUCGACCCGCUGGUUCCAAAUGUAUAAACGCAACCUGGCGCUGUUGAGUCCACGGAACAUUAUUGUUGCUAUGGCCGCACACAUCGCGAGCGCGUUCUGUGACAAAUUCUAUUUUCGACCUAUGGCUAUACCGCUCACCUACGUGGUGAUACCACCUAAAUAUGUCUUAUUUUCAUCGAAAGUGAAGGGCGUGCGUAUUUCGCUAUAUAAACCGAAAUAUCUGCAAAAUUGGACAGAGUGGGAUUUUGCCGCUCUAGGUCUUCAACGAUCUGUGCUGCUACAGUAUUUAGCAAGGAAUAUGGAUACAUUUCUAGCGCUACGUGGCGCUACCGUCGUAGGCCACUGCCUUGUCGAGCGCCUCGUUGGCUUCUGCGAAGAAGCAUCAUUGGUUCGUGAGCUUGUAGCCGAAAAUGAUGAGAUCGCUAUCAAGCUUCUUAAGCAUGCUCGAAAAAAUAAAAGAUUGCGUGGCACCAAAGAUAAAGGGAUGGGCCUAGCUGUAUGCUGUUGGCGAAACUCUCAGGUGGUCCGGCAAUUAACUUCACUUUUCCGAAGAGGCGUACCGUAUCGCUUACUGUUUAGCGAACGCGAACCAUUCACACGGCCCCAAACAUUGUCCUCUUUCACUUACAUAUAAAUCUGCUGGACAGACUUAUGAAACGUAUGUUGCCAUAUGUGCAUCGAUUUGGAAGCACACUUUCGGACCGUAUGAAUAUGGUCCCAGUACUUAACUUCGCAAGUUAUGAAUGCGUGACAGGCUUAUUCUGUUGUGGAACCUGUGCCUUGUGAAACCUAAUAAUCAUCUGCUAGAUCAAUAGAAUCACGCAAAGAAGAUGCACAUUUGUCGUAGCCUACAAGCGACAGGUUUUGGUCGUCUGAAGUUGAUAAUCAAGGAAGACUGAAGCAUGAUGACAGUGGAUUGAUCGUCUCUAUCAGAAUUAAGCUAAUUUUUAACAAGAAGUCAAGUCUAGAAAGGGGCAAUAAGAAUGGAAGCAAGUGCGGACCAGACUCAAAAAUUUGAAACUUCUAGGGAACACUUCAGUGACCGUCAAAACGCUCGAGUAUUAACGAUGUUCUUACGACGGACGAGAGCGUUGAACCAACGAGCGCGGAGCUUAACACGAACAGAUCAUCGACGAAGUCGAAUUUACCUCAUCGUGUCAUUACAGGUCGCAAAACUUGCCUUUACGGGUGUGAUGUGGAAACAAAAGCGGAGCCCCCGGAACAAAAUUAAGCAAAGUUUGAAAAAAUCAACUCAGGCUAAAUAAAGCUGUAGUGUACAAGUCUUAGCCCGUUUUCGGUUAUCAUAGAAGUAUGCAUAUUUUCACCACUAAAAUAAAUUC